CCUUGUACACACCGCCCGUCACACCAUGGGAGUUGGCUUUACCCGAAGACGGUGCGCUAACCGCAAGGAGGCAGCCGGCCACGGUAAGGUCAGCGACUGGGGUG
rnacentral:rRNA from 1 species